GGAUAUAGUUAGCAAGUCAGAAAACAUUCGAAUGAAAAUGCCAUGAGAGACAAAUUAGUCUGCUGGUUUCUUAAAAAUUUAGCUGUGGAUCCCUUUCUCCAAAUGAAUUCUUAAGGGGCUAUGAGCUUAGUCACUCAGACACGUCCAACUCUUUGCGACCCCCAGGCUCCUCUGUGCAUAGGAUUUUCCAGCCCACAGUGGGCUACCAUUUCCUCCAAAGGAUCUUCCUAACCCUAGGAUUGAACCCGCAUCUGCUGUGUCUCCCAGAUUGCAGGCAGAUUCUUUACCAGGUGAGCCAUCAGGGAAACUCUUAAGGGAUGGCCUAGUAUUUAAACUGUUAAGGUUGGAGCUCGUUGGGUUGCUAUGGGCAUGGGGGCCUGAGACCAGGCAGUGGCACGACAAGGGGAGACGGGAAGCCCCCAGCUGCAGAGAUGAGUGGGGCUUUCGUUGUGGUCUUCAGCACAAGCACCUGUGUUUCGCUGCUCAUCUGUCAGGGAAGGUAAAAGAAACUCAAGGAGGAGGAGAACUGAUUCAAUGGACCAGGGAAUGCAAUUGGGAGGGGGCUGGGCAUGGAAACAGCUUUAUGGAAAGGCUGGCUUUGUGCCAUUACCAAGAGGACAGAGCAACCUUGAGGCCCUUGGACAUGAAACCCCACCCCUGUUGCUCUGUGCCCGGGCUUGCACAUCAGACCUCCCUGGGACACGGUGGCCCUCCAGGUCUGCAACUCCACCAUCUUUCACGAGUCAGCUACAGUGAGAUGAAGAAUGGCCCUCUCAGGUCCUCACUUGUCCUGCCUCUCAUGGGCUUCCCAUUUGGACCCAAGAACAUUGCAAUCAGCUCACCUUGACAGAGGUCUGUUCUGAAUGGUUCUCCUUCCUCCACAAAAUUCCUUGCAGAUUUCUGAAGACAGUCCACUGAAGACUUCACAGUCUGGGAGCCCAGGCCUUGUGGACCAAGACAACUGAACCAGUGCAACCUCCUCCAUGGCUGUCCCUGCUCCGGAGGAUGACUGGCCAGGAGGGCCGUAUGGCCUGACCUCACCGCUAACUGGUAAGGAACAGCAGCCCUUUAUUCUCCAGGGACUAGAGCGUCAUGGAGGCUCUAUCACAAUGCUUUUCAAACUGUAGCUUGAGAAUGAUGAAGUCUUCAAA
ensembl:lncRNA